AACAUGAUUUGAUACCCUGGUAGUCCACGCUGUAAACGAUGUCGACUUGGAGGUUGUGCCCUUGAGGCGUGGCUUCCGGAGCUAACGCGUUAAGUCGACCGCCUGGGGAGUACGGCCGCAAGGUUAAAACUCAAAUGAAUUGACGGGGGCCCGCACAAGCGGUGGAGCAUGUGGUUUAAUUCGAUGCAACGCGAAGAACCUUACCUACUCUUGACAUCCAGAGAAUUUGCUAGAGAUAGCUUAGUGCCUUCGGGAACUCUGAGACAGGUGCUGCAUGGCUGUCGUCAGCUCGUGUUGUGAAAUGUUGGGUUAAGUCCCGCAACGAGCGCAACCCUUAUCCUUUGUUGCCAGCGAGUAAUGUCGGGAACUCAAAGGAGACUGCCGGUGAUAAACCGGAGGAAGGUGGGGAUGACGUCAAGUCAUCAUGGCCCUUACGAGUAGGGCUACACACGUGCUACAAUGGCAUAUACAAAGAGAAGCGAACUCGCGAGAGCAAGCGGACCUCAUAAAGUAUGUCGUAGUCCGGAUUGGAGUCUGCAACUCGACUCCAUGAAGUCGGAAUCGCUAGUAAUCGUAGAUCAGAAUGCUACGGUGAAUACGUUCCCGGGCCUUGUACACACCGCCCGUCACACCAUGGGAGUGGGUUGCAAAAGAAGUAGGUAGCUUAACCUUCGGGAGGGCGCUUACCACUUUGUGAUUCAUGACUGGGGUGAAGUCGUAACAAGGUAACC
rnacentral:rRNA from 1 species